rnacentral:rRNA from 1 species
CACGUAGGGCGCAAGCGUUGUCCGGAAUUAUUGGGCGUAAAGAGCUCGUAGGCGGUCUGUCGCGUCGGGAGUGAAAACUCAGGGCUUAACCCUGAGCCUGCUUCCGAUACGGGCAGACUAGAGUAUGCAGGGGAGAACGGAAUUCCUGGUGUAGCGGUGGAAUGCGCAGAUAUCAGGAGGAACACCGGUGGCGAAGGCGGUUCUCUGGGCAUUACCUGACGCUGAGGAGCGAAAGUGUGGGGAGCGAACAGG